GAUGAACGCUGGCGGCGUGCCUAAUACAUGCAAGUCGAGCGAACGGACGAGAAGCUUGCUUCACUGAUGUUAGCGGCGGACGGGUGAGUAACACGUGGAUAACCUACCUAUAAGACUGGGAUAACUUCGGGAAACCGGAGCUAAUACCGGAUAAUAUUUUGAACCGCAUGGUUCAAAAGUGAAAGACGGUCUUGCUGUCACUUAUAGAUGGAUCCGCGCUGCAUUAGCUAGUUGGUAAGGUAACGGCUUACCAAGGCAACGAUGCAUAGCCGACCUGAGAGGGUGAUCGGCCACACUGGGACUGAGACACGGUCCUGACUCCUACGGGAGGCAGCGGUAGGGAAUCUUCCGCAAUGGGCGAAAGCCUGACGGAGCAACGCCGCGUGAGUGAUGAAGGUCUUCGGAUCGUAAAACUCUGUUAUUAGGGAAGAACAUAUGUGUAAGUAACUGUGCACAUCGUGACGGUACCUAAUCAGAAAGCCACGGCUAACUACGUG
rnacentral:rRNA from 1 species